GACGAACGCUGGCGGCGCGCUUAAUACAUGCAAGUCGAACGAGAAUCAUUGGUGCUUGCACUGAUGAGGAAAGUGGCGAACGGGUGAGUAACACAUGAGAAACCUGCCCCAAAGACCGGGAUAAGCUCUGGAAACGGAGUCUAAUACCGGAUACCUUCUUUUUAUCACAUGUUAAAAAGAAGAAAUGCUCCGGCGCUUUGGGAUGGUCUCGUGGUCUAUCAGCUUGUUGGUGAGGUAAAAGCUCACCAAGGCAUCGACGGAUAGCUGGUCUGAGAGGAUGUCCAGCCACAUUGGAACUGAGAUACGGUCCAAACUCCUACGGGAGGCAGCAGUAGGGAAUCUUGCACAAUGAAGGGAAACCUUGAUGCAGCGACGCCGCGUGCGGGACGAAGGCCCUAGGGUUAGUAAACCGCUUUCAGUAGGGACGAAAGUGACGGUACCUACAGAAGACG
rnacentral:rRNA from 1 species